AUGGAAGUGUUACUGUGGUUGCUUUAUGGCUAGCUUCAGCUCUUGUGGGUGCUGUUGAUGCAAUUCCAUUGUUCCCAAAGUUGAUGGAAAUUGUGGGUCUUGGCUACAUAUGCUGGUUUAGCUCUCGUUAUCUGUUAUUCAAGAAAAACAGGGAGGAGUUGGCUGCUCAAAUUCAAGACCUUAAGCAACAGCUUGUUGCCUUAAAUGAUGAGCUUAGAGAUCGUAUUUCGUCUGGGUCUAAUUUGGGCUUUUAAGUUCGGUUUUAAUGGAUUUAUUUUUGGUUUGAUUUCAAUAUUUAAGUUUCAGAUGUUUUUAGUUAUUAUAUUAUUUAUAUCAGCUUUUAUUAUUAUCUAAAAAGAAUAUAAAAUAAAAUAAAAUUGGUAUAGGGCUCCUUAGCCAUUAGCAUUCAAGUUGUUUCUUAGAUAAUCUAAAUGUUCAAGAUUCAAGUUACUUCUUAGACAA